GACGUAGGGGGCCAGCGUUGUUCGGAAUUACUGGGUGUAAAGGGUUCGUAGGCGGUGCGGCAAGUUGGGAGUGAAAUCUCUGGGCUUAACCCAGAGGCUGCUUCCAAAACUGCUGUGCUUGAGUGUGGGAGAGGCGCGUGGAAUUGCAGGUGUAGCGGUGAAAUGCGUAGAUAUCUGGAGGAAUACCGGUGGCGAAGGCGGCAUCCUGGACCGGCAUUGACGCUGAGGAGCGAAAGCCAGGGGAGCAAACGGG
rnacentral:rRNA from 1 species